UUGGUUGAACGGGUAUAUACACUCAGUCAUCAAAGUAGUGCUGAGACGUCUUUUUGAAAACAAUCACAAGUUAGCAACAUUACGUGUCAUGAAGGUAUUAUCGGAGAAUUCUAUAAAAGGACAGUGGUUGUAUUUGUACACAGUGUAUUGCAGACAUGGAUUAUUCAUUGGAUGGCAAAAAUUCUCAAGG